CGCCUCCGUGGCGCAAUUGGCUAGCGCGAUCGGCUGUUAACCGAGAGGUUGGAGGUUCGAUCCCUCCCGGGGCGU
rnacentral:tRNA from 1 species